AGAGUCCUCACACAAACGUCACAGCUCAGCAUCUCUGAACUGUCACCAUGUAACCUUUUUCUUGCCUGUUAUCGGUCUACUCGGAGGAUGAUUCAGGACCAGUCACCAAGCCAGUAACACUGUAACCUUUCCCCCAGAGUGUUUCCCCUGGAUCUGCAGAAGACGCCAGGCAAGCAGGCAAACAUCUUCAGCUAGCUUAUGGUAGACCAAGGUGCUCAUGAUGCUGUCUCACUGAAUUGUUGUCAAUGAGGAGAAAGAAACAAAUUCUGAGCAGAGACCUGCUUCAGUCAACAAGUCAGAUGGCUAUUCAACCUGUCAGAGCUUCUGAGCCCAGAGAUUUUUCUGGAGGCAAAUCCUUCAUGGCCUCAGGCAGCCCAGACAGCUCCAAAGCUCUUGUCUGCAUCUGAGGGCCGGUGUCGCACUGAAGCAAGUCAGCUCAGCUUCCCUCCAGCCUUCCCGCCAUGCUUCCUGUGGCAGGCUCACCAGGGCCCCACCUCAGUGUGCCUCCUCCUCAAGACCACUUGUGACCUUCAAAAUGAUAGCUGCUAAGGAUGCCGAAGCCUGGUCCGACAGAAGCUCCUCACCAACUCUGGAACUCAGUGGCUGUAUCAGUGUGGAUGGGAAAAGCAUCUGGUUUCACUAAUCGUUGCCAGUGUCUCCUUCAAUGGCACACACCACAACGGCCGCAUCGGCAGUAGUCUCUGGAAGCAACAUAGCUAUUUCCAGACCUGUUCAAGUUGUGUCAGGUGGUUGAAAAUGUCAUUAAACCCAUUACUGCUCCAAAAUUACAGUCAUUAUUGAAACCCGCUCCUAGACCUUGUUAUUUACUAUGUUAAUAAACAAGGAUUCCUAGAACCA